rnacentral:misc_RNA from 1 species
GAUGAAGAACGUAGCGAAAUGCGAUAAGUAAUGUGAAUUGCAGAAUUUAGUGAAUCAUCGAAUCUUUGAACGCACAUUGCGCCCGCCAGUAUUCUGGCGGGCAUGCCUGUUCGAGCGUCAUUUCAACCAUCAAGCCCCCGGCUUGUGUUGGGGACCUGCGGCUGCCGCAGGCCCUGAAAAGCAGUGGCGGGCUCGCUGUCACACCGAGCGUAGUAGCAUACAUCUCGCUCUGGGCGUGCUGCGGGUUCCGGCCGUUAAACCACCUUCAUAACCCAAGGUUGACCUCGGAUCAGGUAGGAAGACCCGCUGAACUUAAGCAUAUCAAUAAGCGGAGGA